rnacentral:misc_RNA from 1 species
UAAAUUUCCUUAAACUAUGUAAUAAGGUAAGAUGAAAAUGUAAACAAAUUUAAUGUAUACAAUCAUACUGAAUAAUGCAGACGUUCUAGGAAAUUGUUUAUAAGAAUGAAUGUAAAUCGAGGAUAAAAGUGCUCAUUCCUGAUUUUCUUAAAAAAUCCCGCCUGUUGAUUCUUUUCUCUAAUUCAUAGUCAAUAGAUGGCGCAGUUUAUUGUUGAUUUCGUUCAAAAUGGCGGCCUGUAAUGGGCACUGUGGGGUAAUAUUGUUCGAUUCCCCGCGAUAAAUGAGACCAUGCAGAGUUAACUCGCCUUGGUGUAUGUGCGAGUACUGAGUCUAGAUUGUAUCCGGAAUGUACACUUUUCUUCGAAUGGUUAAAUCAUGUAAGCGCAAUCAUAGUGCCAGCCGAUCGUGUGUCGUGCAUUGGCUAAGUUUGUGUAGCCAUAUUUAUUGUGUUAUUCGGCAAGACGUUAUAUCUUAUACACCGGCAAAUGUAAUUGGUAAUGAAGACAUAUGGUUUUAUUAUUAAAGGACCUUAGGACAAUAGGACAUGAAAAGACGCUACACUGAGUUCUCUUCAAUUCUUCAAAAACGGCGCACAUUGAUUGUUUCUUUUUCAAACUACAAUUACUUUCUCUCUCUCUUUUUACAAUUUCCAAACGGUGCAAGUUGUGCAAUAUCUUAAAAUUUAUUUGUGGUAUCCUUGUUAUCCUUAGCACACAUUGUGUUGUGUGAUGCAUUAAGGAUUUUACGAAAAAAAAAAAGAUGGGGCAACUAUUAUAUCACAUUAUCAGUCCUAAUUAUUGGAUAAAGGUUUAUAAACCAUAUACACAGUGAAAGAGAUUUUAUUAAUUUUUUCUAUUUGUAUAUAAGAAAUGGAUAUACAAAAGUUUCAACAAAAAGUUGUGUUAUGAAUAUCAGAAACUAUAUAUAUAACAUUUAUAUAUAUAUAUAAGAGUCUGCUGUACAUAAAUCAAACAAGCUAGGCACUAUCGUGCCAAGCUUGGGUAAUGGAUCCUGUUCGUCCAUGGUAUGCAACAUAUAAUCGUCUUGCUGCAAGUAGUGCAAAUAGUACAUUUCAACCAACAACUUCAAGCACAAACAGUGAUUUUGUAUCUCAUCACUUAGCAACAGCUGCUACUCAAGCAGUUCCUUCAACAACAUCACAAUUACUUUUACAAGCAGCUCAUACAACUGCAACUCUGGCGGGACAACCAUCUCCAUUCAACCCAGGGGGGUUUUUGUCUCCACCCCCUGUGGGAUAUGAUGUUUUCACACCUUUAUUUCAUCAUCCUAAUCCUAAACAAGCACAUUAUGUUACUCAACAUAGGCAAGCUCUUGCUCAAGCACAAGUGUCAGUAACAAAACAAAAUGCUACAACAGAAUCUGACAUUCCUGUACUAAGAGAAAAUUAUAGUUCAGCACAUCAGUCAACAUUUUUUGAACAUCAAGGUGCGGCAACAUCGCCUACAACAUCUACAUUGGCUUGGACUCAUCAGAACAAUGCACAAUUACCUAGUCCAUUUGGUAUUCUGCCUCAUGAAAGUGUUGUUCCUUCAUCCCCAGGACCAUCAUCUACUACAAAACCAACUAGUGGUGUUUAUGAAAAUACAUUUAAUUCUAAUUUUGCUACAACACAAACUAUAAAUAAUUUAAACUCUCAAUUAACUACACCUUCGGUUUCUGCUGCUGAAUUUAAAUCAUCCAAUUUCCCAGAUAAUAAAAAGACAGUAAAUAUAAGGCCUCAAUCACCAACAGUAAGUGUUAAAUCAGUUUCUACAUCACAAACAAAUAGCAAUCAAAAUUUUUUUCAACCAGUAUCUACUACAUUCAAUUCUGAAACAUUAGCAAAUAAUUACUCUACUGGUAAUGGAAAUCAAACUUCAAAUGGGAAAAUACAAUCUUCUCUUCAACAUCACCAAUCAUGUAUUGUUUCAACUACAAAUAAUACAAAUAAUACAGCCAAUAAAGAAUAUAGAAUUCCUCAACCACCUGCUAGAUCAAUUGCAUCAACAACUAUAUUUUUAAAUACAUCUAUUAGAUCUGUAUCUUCUCAAAUUCAAGAUAAACAAUCGGCUAGAAAUUUCGCUUCACCUCCCCAUAAAACAACUUCUACAUCUCAACAAAAUAUUCAAACUAAAGCACAGACAAAAAUAUAUCCAGAAUUAAAUACACACAGCAGUGAACAUAGACGAAACGAACAAACAUCUCAUGAUAAUAGCCAAUCAUCUCCUAUUAGUUUUUCCAUUAUGGAUUCACGUAAUUUGAAUUAUACUACUGGAAAUAAUACAAAUUGUACAAAUACUAGUGGAAAACUUAAUAAUAAUCAAAGAAGUCAAUCAAACAGUAACUUACAAACUCAUUCUCAGCAACCACAACAGCAGCAGCAGCAACAACAAUUUCAUGUUUUAAAUCAACAACAGCAACAACAACAAACAUCAUAUAGACAUUAUCUAACAGGAUCUACAACUGAUUCUGAAUAUCAUCAUUCAGCAAGAUCAAAAUCUGCAACUUCCACUGAUUCUGCUUAUUCUUCUAACAAUUCCACACAAAAUGGACCUGAUUGUAGUGUUGUUGUGCCAAGAAGACCAAGUCCAUUACAAGCACAUUCACAAGCAAGUCCAUUGGGACAUGUUCCAAGUCCUGCUUAUCCUAUGUAUAAUAGUCCAAUGGCUACUAUGUCUUCUCCUUCACCUUUACAACAACAUACAGAAAAUGCAAAUCAAUGUGCAAGUGGAUCAUCAUAUAAAGGAACUGUGCAACAACAAGUUACACCACCAUCACCAUUAGAUGUUACUGUACCACGACCAGCAUCACAAGGUCAAGUUGCUUAUUCAUCAGUCAUUACAAGAGCUUUAGGUACUACUGAAAAUAAAACUAAUUAUAAUACAGAUAGUAAAACUUAUGAUAGACAGCAACAAGAUUUUUCACAAACUCAAAAACAAGUUUGUUGGGAAAAUGAUAAUCGACAGUCAAAUAAUAGAAAAUUUUCUAUUACUCUAUAUACUGGUGGAAAUUCUGAAGUAAAUCCUCAAACUUUACCAAUUCAACAACAAGUACAACGAGUGCUUAAUGUAUCUGAUAGACAACAAUCAUAUUUUGAAUCCAGCCAAGUGACACUACAAGAUUUAAGUAGUUGUAGAGGAGAUCCUAUGAGUAUAGUAAAAAAUUUACAGACUUUACAAGGUUCAUGUCAAGUACAACAACAAACUACUGUUUCUGUUGCUCCAACUGAACAACAAAAGCAAAUAGAAGAACGACGUAAAGCAGAUACAAAUAAAAAAAGAAAAAGUUUAGAAAAAAGUGGACAUAAUUCUUUAAAUGAAAUAAGUGGAACAACGACAAUGACAGAAUACUUAAAUAGAAUACCACCCCCUGCACAUCAUAAUACAAAUCAACAGCAACAAAAUGGUUAUUUUGAUUUUGAAAGAUGGAAUUUACCUCCACCUCCUGCUAAAAUGUUUCCUACUGCAUCAGGUGCUUUCAGUUCACAAUCAACCUUACAUUCAAAUAAUUUUGUUGGUUCUCCAGCUCAUCAACAUCAAUCUUUGAUGGUACCUCAUCAUCAUGCUCCACCUCCUAUUCCAUAUUUUCCAGCCUUUCAUAUUCCUUCAAGUCAUCAUCAUUCACAUGAAUUUCAAUCUUCUGUUGAAAUUACACCUAUAGGUUUUGGUGAAAAUUCAACAAAUCAAAAUCCUAAUUAUAAUCAAGAUAUCAGAGAUGAUCAACCUAAAGUAAUUGUUCCUAAUAUUGAAGAAGAAUUAGGUUUCCUACAACAAAAUCAGCAAUUGAUUCAAACUGUUAGCAUCUUAAAUAAAGAUUUCAAACGAUCUAAUAAAGAUCCUAAUUCAGGAUUUAUGACAAGUUAUUUAAAAUUUUUACAAGGUGAAAGAGAACCUUCACCUCCUCCAGCAAUACGUGGUGGAAGAAAAGCAACUUGGAAUAGAUCAAAACCUUAUAUUCCUGUAGAACCUAAAAAAUCUGUAGAAAGUUUAGUAAAUGGAGAAAUAAUGAAAACACAAAUAGAAAAACCACCUCAACCUAAAGAAACACCAGUGAUUGAUUAUACUAAUGAUCCACGAUAUUUUCCUUUACCUAAAGAACGAAAAAAACAGAAUUUUGAUUCAAGUGAUGAUGGUUUUACUAGUGAUGAUGAUUUUCUAUUUCCUCCUAAAAAAUCGGAUAAGAAAAUAACAAAUACAAAUACUUCCAAUAUAAUGGAAGUAACAGUAAAAUCAGAAGGUAAAUCUAAAAAAGGAAGACCAAUAAAACCUGGAGGACCAACAGAUAGAAAAAGAAAAGCUGCAGCGGCAGCUGCUGCAGCAGCAGAAGCAGCAAUGAUUACUACAAUUAAUAAAAUUUCUAAAAAAUAUGAAGAAGUAGAUCCUUUGCUUUUACCUCCAAGACGUGAAACAUCUAGAAGAAAAGCAAAAGAAAAAACCUCAGUAAAACAAUUUUUAGAUCGACAACAGGGUAUAGAUUAUUUUGAUAAUGAUGAAGAACAGGGUGAUUCUGAUUCUGAUCCUGCUUGGACACCUGCUGUAAAAUUAGUUGGAGAUGAAGAAGAAAAGAAAAAGAAACGUGGAAGACCUGUUAUUACUAAAAAAAGUAGAAAAAUUUUAGAAGAAGAAGAUUAUUCUUCUAGUGAUGUUGUUGUUUCAAAGAAAUCAAGUAGAAAAAAACAUGAAACACCAUCAAAAACUUCUAAUGUUACUGGAAAGUUAUCUUGUAAAAUAGAUGAGAAACUUUUAGCAUCUAUCAGUGAUGAAGAUAUUGAUAUUUCACCAUUUAAGCAUUUUGUGGAUGAAUUAGAUGAUGUGUCUGGGGAAUUUGUUGUAAUCAAGACAGAUUUAAAUGAAGAAUAUCCUCCUCUUUGGAGAAUAGAUGGUAAAACAUUAUUACAAAAAUAUGAACCAUUUAAAUCUAAUGGCAAAACUUUAUAUCGAAACAUAUCUACGUAUUCGGGUUGGGCACCACAAAAUCGACAUAUAUAUCAACAAGUUCCAGUAAAAUUCUUACAACAAGGUAAAGCAGAAACAAUAGUAGAGUUUUUAAGAGAUGAAAUGAUUAUUGAUAAUAACGAAUGUAUUGAUAAAUCUAUGAAGGAUACUGAAAAAUAUCAAGAUAAUUUUGAAGUAUAUAUUCAAACAUUGAUAUCACAAGCUUUGGAUUCUAAUUUUCUAACAGAAAUAUUUCAAGAACAAGAUGAUUAUUUCUUAUCAAACGUAAAAACUGUGGAUGAAGUAACGGAAGAAAGGAAACAACGGCUUUUAUCUACAACGAAAUGGCGAUCAAAUGUUAUAAAUGCAAUAUCAACUUGGCCAUGUCUUAAUGUUCUUAAAGAUAUACCAUUUACAGAAUAUAAAGGAAAGUCAUGUGCUGGAUGCCAACAGUUUAAAAUUCAUGCUAGAGUUCUAUUGUAUGGUCAACCAUACAAUGCUACUACAUUAGAAGGUUCUCCACCUGAUCCAAGAAUACCUCAAGAAAAAGAUUUUUUAUUGUGUCGAAUAUGUCAAGCAAAAGUUGCUUUAUAUAAUAAGGUUGCACAUCAGAAAUAUUUAAUGUUUUUGGAAUGUGCAAGAAGAGUUGCAGAUAAGAGAGUAGCAGAUCCUCAUAAAGAUACCACAAUAAUAUUGAAUGAAUUAUUAGCUGAUGAAACAUGGUUAAAUCAAUUAUUUAAAGAAGUUAGAACAAUCUGGGCAGAAAUAGAUAAUUUGGAAUAUCAAGCAAAAACAAAAUCAAGUUUAAAAUCAAUAUUUUCUUCUACAGCAAGUAGUACAGAAGAAAUGAAUGAAAAUAUUUCAAUAAAACAACCAAUUGAAAUGACUGCUAAUAUUUCGGAUUCACAGGUGCCUACACAGAAAACCGAAGAGACUUCUGAAAUAGUGUCUUGCGAUGUGCAAAUGAGCAGUAUACCAUCUUAGUGGUGCUACAAUAAUAGAAAUUGGCUUCGUUUUAUACAAUGCCUGAAGAGCAUUAAAGAUUUAGUGUGUAUUGACUUAAUAGACAUGAAGAAGAUCAAACAUUUAAAUAUUGUAUUUUGAUGAUAAAUAUUUAAAUUGAGUUAAUAUAAUAUGCUGUGAAACAAAUGGUGAAGAUAAACAUUAAUGUGUAAUCAAGAAAUUGUAGUUAUAGUGAUAACAAGUAGUGAAUGAUGAGUUCGCGUUUGUUGCCCGUGAAGGAUGCCUUCUGCCAACCCUAAACUAGAAAAACAGGCCUCUACGGAGACCGUAGAUCCUAUACGCCAAGCAAUUAUCGUUAUCGAACAUAAGAUA